AGCCACGCGGUGAGCACAAAGCGAACUAUUCUUUCGCCUUUAACUAAAGAAUAUCGUGUGCUCGCCGCAAAUAGUGGCAUACGCCAAUUAUUUUAAGAGGGAUUCU
rfam:Nicotiana attenuata strain TT chromosome 2, whole genome shotgun sequence.